rnacentral:rRNA from 1 species
ACUCAAAUGAAUUGACGGGGGCCCGCACAAGCGGUGGAGCAUGUGGUUUAAUUCGACGCAACGCGAAGAACCUUACCUGGGCUUGACAUGUUGGUGGUAAGAACCUGAAAGGGGGAUGACCUGUAGCAAUACAGGAGCCAGCACAGGUGCUGCAUGGCUGUCGUCAGCUCGUGCCGUGAGGUGUUGGGUUAAGUCCCGCAACGAGCGCAACCCUUAUCCUAUGUUACCUCGCAAGAGGGUCUCUUAGGAAACUGCCGGCGAUGAGCUGGAGGAAGGUGGGGACGACGUCAAGUCAUCAUGGCCCUUAUGUCCAGGGCUACACACGUGCUACAAUGGCUUCUACAGAGGGAUGCAAGACCGCGAGGUGGAGCCAAUCCCUAAAAGAAGUCGUAGUUGGGAUCGGAGUCUGCAACUCGACUCCGUGAACCUGGAAUCGCUAGUAAUCGCGGAUCAGAACGCCGCGGUGAAUACGUUCCCGGGCCUUGUACACACCGCCCGU